GUGGCAAGAGGAGACGAGAAUAAUCUUCUUCUUUAUAUUAAUAGAUAGAUAAGCAGUCGAUAAAUAUUCAUGCUCAUGAAUUUUAGAGAAAAAAACAUUUUUUAUCAAAUACUUGCAUAAUAAAGCUUACACUCCUAACGAGGAAAUAGUGAGCUUCAAAUAAGCGAGAAUAGUAAUAAUUGGCCAAUUCAUACGUCAAUUAUGGGUUAUGUUACAUGUCCAAAAAUAUACUUCAACUAAUAUAAAAUUCAACUUUUCAUAUAUAAACUUAAAAAACUAAGUUUUAACAUACAUUGACCUAAUUUCCGUUAGUCAAAACAUUAUGGAAUAAGAGUUUUCAUUAACCGGUAAUAUGAAAUUGGUCAAUUCUCACAUCAAUAUGGUCAACAGUCCUGAUUAAUAUAUACACUUUACAUGUGCGAAAACAUACAUCAACUAAUACAAAAUUUAAAUUCACUACAUGAACUAUUGAAAUCUGGUUUUUAACAUAUAUUGACCUAAUUUUCAUUAGUCAAAUAUUACCGAAGAUAAAUUGACUAUCUCAUGUUGAUUAAGUGCAAUUUUUAUUGUAUUAUGUGGUAGCUAAACCGUUUUAUGUGGUAAAUGACUGAGAAAAAUAAAUCAUAUGGCCAAACGAUUUCAUUCUUUGUGUGAUUGAUUGUAAUAUAAAAUUUAUUUUUCGAGUGUUGGACAAAUUUGAUUAUUUGGAACAUUCGUUUACUAUACUACUUAGACUAUAUGGAAUAUAAGAUAUGCAACAUGCUAACCAAUCAAAUGUGCUUUCAAAUAUUUAAUAUCGAAAAAUAAUUUAUAGAUUAUAUUGGAUUUAUAGGUUCCUGCAUAGGGUUUAGAUUUACUAAGUAAAAGUUUGGAUAUAGUAAACCAUAUUAUAUAUUUUUUAUUUGGGUUUAUACUUCCUUGAUUAGGGUUUAGCUUGAUUAGGAUUUAAAUUUGGAUUUAUGGUUUAGUGAUUUUGGGUUUAGGGUUUAGUAAUUGGAAGGUGGGGGUUGAGGUUGGGGUCAACAUAACUUCUUACAUGCAAGUAUAUACAUUUCAUAAUUUCACCAAUAUGUACUACACUGUUGAUUUUGUUCCAUUCUAUCUGAGUUUAGGGUUUAUUUUUGUAUUUAAGAUUUAUAUUUGGGUUUAGAAUUUAGUGAUUAGGGUUUAGGAUUUAGUAUUUAGUAUUGGGAAGGUAGGAGUUGAGAUUGAGACCAUCAUUAACUUCUUACGUGUAAGCCUAAACAUUUCAUAAUUUCGUAAAUAUGUAUUAUACUAUUUAUUUUAUUUCAUUCUAUUUGGGUUUAAAGUUUAUAUUUGGAUUUAAGAUUUGUAUUUUGAUAUUGGCUUUAGUGAAUAGGGUUUAGAAUUUAGUAUUUAGUAUUUAGGGGUUAUGGAUGUGAUUGUGAUAGGCUUUAAUAUUUAGAGUAGAGAUGGAAUUGGUGAUCUUUAUUAUUUUGUUGAUAGGAAGUUAAUAGAAUCUAUUCUAUUAAACCAGCAGUGUGACCCAUUGAUAAAAGUAGAGUCCAAUUAUUAUUUUCCCAAAAAACUGAUUAUUUUAUAACUGCUUAUAUUAAAUGACUAAUCACGUUUUUUGUCUAUAACAAUCAGUUACGUUUCUUCAAUCACAACAAUGUCGGAUUCAUUGAUUUAGAUUUUAGACCUGAUCAAAACGCGUCCAUGGUGAUCGAUUCUCUGGCGAUUAUACGUUCCAUGGUGGUUCACUGUGUUGAUUUGUCAUAAUCAGACAAGAAAUCGGAAAAUUUAAAGUAACUGACUUUUUGCAUUUUAAAAGGUUGAAAUCAGAUAUUUUGUAAUGGAUUACAAGUUGAAGGUAUAAACAACAAGAAAAACUUAAAAGUUGAUCGAUUAUGAAAGUAUGGUGGCCAUUGAAAUGUUGCAGAGAAUUCUAAAAUAUUCUUAGGGAAGGUGGAAAUAUUUACAAAAAUGCCACUCAAAAAAAAAAACAAUACACACUACAUAAUUAUAUCUAUCGAAUACAAGAGUGUAAAAUGGCCCAAGCUUCCAACAGACCAAGAUUAUACUGUAUAUAUUAAAAACCCUCUUUCUUGACUUAAUAUAUAACUACAUUUAUCUGAAACUUAAAAAAUAUAUUAUAAGAAAUAUUAAAUAUUUUUGAAUAUAUAUAAUAUUAAAACAGAAAUAAAUAUAUAUAUAUAUAUAUAUAUAAACCAGUGGAAAUAUAUUUCUUAAGUUUGUUUACUAUAAAAUGAAACUUUAAAAUUUAACUCAUAAAGUUAACUAAUAUUUUUUCAAACAAAAAAAAGUUAACUAUAUUAAUAUUAAUUAGUGGUGGAACGAGUUAUUAAUGACAUUUAAUUUUUAUAAGUGAACUUUUAAUAGAAAUAAAUAUUCAUAUAAACUCAUUUAGUUUAACGGGGUUUUAAUAAGUUAUUCAAUUGAAAAAUCUACUCUAUUAAAACAGCAGUGUGACCCAUUAAUAAAAGUAGUGUUCAACAAUUAUUUUCAUAUAUCAAUAUUAUUAAAACACAAUUAACACUAACUACUUUGUACGCUACAUAACUUCCACUAUAAACUCCUAAAUAAUCGGGACCCACUUCUUAUAAAGCUAAAACUGCUGAGUUACUUUAAUUCCAUAGCUUUCGUGUCUUAUGUAAUAGUUUUCUAUAGCCCACGCCAUUUUUAAUACAACUAAUGCCAUAUCAUUUCAUCAAAAAAAAACUACCAAGUAAAAACAAUUUCAAACGAUGAAGAUACCCAAUACGAUGUCAUCUAAAGAAGAAUAAAUUUUUUUUUUAUUUUAGCAUUUUAUUAGAAAGAAAAUUAACUUGCAAUAAAAAUUAUACUAAUAAACAAUAUCCUUAGAAUUUUAUUAAGUUUACAUCAAACAUGCAAAAAUUUGUGAUUAUAACUUUUUGCAGGUUAUUUUAAAAAGCACUAGAUUCUUGCGGGUAUAUUUUUGUUUUAAUUUUUCUUAAAAUUUAAUUUUUAAAUUUGUGUUUUUUUUGUAAUCAUAUUAUGUUUAACAUUAAUUUAACUACCAAAAAUAUAUUAAAUUAAAUAUAAUAUGAUUAAAAAAAAUACAACUACAAAUUAAAAUUUUCAAAAAAUUAAAACAAAAAUAUUUUUACAUAAUUUAAAGGACGGUUAUAUUUGUAUUUCUAUAUUUUGACAUAAUUUAAUUGAGUACCCGUAUUUGAACUGAACCCGUAAUGAUCCAUACUGAAUUCGAACUAAAAUUUAUAAAUAUCCAAAUAGGUUUUAAUCUCUCAUCUAAAGACCAUUAUCUGAAUAGUCGGAAUCGAACCCGAACUCUUACCCUUACAUGUAGUCUAUAAUAUGAUCACAGAUAAAAAACAUAAAUAUGAUUACAAACAAAUACAUAUAUGAUACAAGGAAAGACACAAGUACAUAUGAAACUUGAUUUAUUUAAUAUACUUACAAAAAUAAUCUAUUCUAUUAAAUUCAUAUCAUACUAAAAUAUAAUUAUACAAACACACAAACAUAUAAAUUAUAUUAGACAUAAAUUUUUAAAACAAAAUAUAUACCUGCCUUCUCGAGGGCGGAUCAAUAUCUAGUAUACCAUUUAUUGCAGAGGUGUUUUAUUUUUAUCUACUUACUAGGAUUUGGCCCGCCCUACGGGCGGGUUAUUAAUCAAAUUAUUACAUAUAUAUAAUCAAUUUAAAGAAUAUUUUAAGAUGUUUAGCUUAUUUUAAAUUUAAAAAUGAUUUUAGUAUUUACUGGGCAUGUUUUGUUAUUAUUUUUAUAGAUUACGUUUAUCUUACUAUUGAACAUAUGUUCACGAAUACAUAAUCUAUAUAUAUAAAGAAGAGCUAAUUACAAUUAAAAUGAAAUAUGUAAUUAAAAUACUUAAAACUACAAUUAUAUAUUUGAAUAUAUUAUUUAUUUUGACAAUUCUGUUAUUUUGGUUUAAUUGCUGCUUGGUAUAUAUCCAUAAUAAGACACUAAUGUUUAUAUUGUAAAUCAAUUGUGUAUUUUUUUUUUAAAAAAAAGAAUUGUGUAGUUGCUUAUUGUAGAUAAACUAUUGUUCUUUUUUUUUGGCCAGUAGUACUCGGCUUAUGGAUAUGUAGUAUUGGGGAAGGGAAACUAUGUUAUGGACAAUGUGUUUUUUUUUUCUUACCUUUGUAGUUGAGCUAUAUUGGUAAUUUACUUGUGGUUGUUUUCUAUUUGGUUAAUUUUCUUUCUUCUGUAUGUUCGUUAAUUUUUUUCUUCUUCUUUAAAUUCUUAACUAUUAAUUAAUAUAUCAUAUUUUUUUAUUGUUUUGCUAAAAGUAUACAUACAUAGUAUUCUUGGAAAUGAUUGAUAUGUAACGAAAAACUUGUUCAGGGGGGCUUUAAGAGAUGGGUAAAUCGUUUUGGAUGUUCAAGAAUGUUCGGAGUAGGUGCUAGGUGGCCCUCGAUGGUCUUUUGUGUGUGUUGUGCUUAAAAAGAAAGUGAAGAGUGAUUCGCUGAAAGUAAUGCAUCUCAUAGAAGAACCCAACCCAAAAAAUUGCUUACACCCAUUCAUGCGACUAAUUUUGAAUCAAAAGUCAAAUUCUUAUUGCUUGCAUUUGCAUAGAUUGCAAGUUUCCAAAUUGGCAAUGUAUUUUCCUUGCUUUACAACAACAGUUGCUUCUAAUGUCUUGGCAUCUGAGCUUUUGAUUCUUGGUUUGUUUUUGGUUCUCGAAUUUUUUUUGAGAAAUUUUCCAUAGAAACACUCGUGCCGUUUGUCAAACCCACCAAUCAAUCCAUUGUCAGACCAAAAGAUUCAAGCCUUUUGUCUCUUUCAGGUGGUUUGACAUCCGCCAUCAACUUAUUGUCACCAUUGUAGCUAAUAGCUUGUCUCAUUUACAUGUACAUCUACUGAAAUACAAUGCAAUCUCAAGAGGAAACCUCACGGUCACAGCAACAGCUCAUAAAAACACAGUUAAUAACAUAGAGACUGAAUUGGUAGCAGUAUCCAUACCUGAGCACCGCAGAACUCAGUACUCAGCAGUCUGAGGUGCAAUGGCGUUAGGAACGUCAAAAGUCUAAGAAUUAGGAGUACAUAUAGCAAAGUGGAUUAGUUAGGCGAGAGACUUGGGAGGAGAAUUGGGGACAUAUGCGUUAAGCCCUCGCACCAUCAGAUGUUCUGAAGAAUUUGAGGAGCAACUGAUGUCAGUGCCACACAACCUACGGUGAGUGAUCAUUGUGAUGUGUGAAAGAGGAACGAAGCAGACGCAUGAAAACAGUCUCCUGACAACGACAUGACUCCAAAUAUGGAAAUAUUCCAUUGUUGGAGCUUUGUGUUAAUAUAGCGUUAAUAGAGUUCAUGGUCAAACAACAUAAGUUAAUGUAAACGCCUAUUUAGCUCCAUACAUGACAAUCAAUCAUUUAUCUACUGAA